GGAAACAAAUGACACAUUAAAGACAUGCUUUAUGCAAAAGAAAAAAGAGACUAAAUCAGAAACUCCAGUGCUUAGCUCUAUAAUUCAGUCGACAUUCCGAAGAGUAGAAUAAUAAAGACGCAAAGCAGAAUUUAAUGCUGCACCAAUCUUGCCAUUGUAUCUACAUAAAGCAGCAAAAUUCAAGUUCAAGUUAAAGAACUACCAUGGCAUUGAUUAUAGCACUUACUUGUCCAAAAUACACAAGCUGGUAUUUGCUGGGUCUUGAAAAUUCUU
rnacentral:lncRNA from 1 species